UAUACUUGGCUGCCAUGCUCAAACUGCAAAAGAAAGAACACAUAACAUGAAAGGAAACUUUUUAAGAAAUUAUUUUAAAAAAAUAAUAAGAAAAUAAAAAGGUAACCCAUUCUCAAAUAGGGUGCACAGUUCUCAGGUAUUCUGAACCAAAUUUAUACCAUUGUUUUGGUUCAAUUCCAAUUCUUUAUCAAAACCUGAGCUGAGAACUGAAUCAAAGCCAAAACCAAUUUGAUACGUGUUUCUUUAACAUAUUUUAUAUACAUUAUACACACACACAUAUUAAUAAAUCUGAACUGAUAAAAAUUAAGUUUGAUUAUAUUAAUUUCUUAUUCUAAUGGUAAAGAUGAGAUUAUUUAGAAGUGAAUUUUAAGUUAAUAAAAGAAAUAAUUUUGCUAUAUUUUAUACUAAUUUAAUAGAUCAUAUAUGUACUGUGAAAGAAAAAUAUAAAAAAUUCUUGCUAAAAUAUAAAAAUUCUUGCUAUAGUUCAAAUGGUGGCUAAUUUUAAAAUGCAAAUGACGAUUCAGUUUCGACCAUCUAUGGCAAUAAUUGCAUAAAAUCAUUUCAAGAACUAAGAACACGACCAAAACCGAAUCGACCAAACCAAAAAUAAAAAACAAAAAACUGAACCAAACCAGAGUCAAAAUAUCAAAGAACUGAACUAGACCAAAAACAUUGAAGAGUCAAACCAGAAUCGGAAAGUUGACUAUGUUUGAUUCAGUUCUGGUUCUAAGCAAGAACUAGAAUCAAACCAGACCCGCACACUGCUAAGUCCAAGGACUCCUCAUCUAUUAGAAAUUUGACAGCAUUUCUAGCAGUGGAUUACACAAGGGGUCAGAUCACAUUAUUAAUCACUCCCAAAAAUGACACAAAUAGCUAAGCAUAGCAUACUUUUGUUGCAAGAAUAAUGAACAGAGGCAUGGAAAUCAGAAAGAAAAAAGUACCAUUCGGAACAUGCAUUUUUACACAGACAUAUUACAUUACAUACAGACCCCAAGAAAAAAUCUCAAAUCAAUAUCACUCAGGCACGUGUUUGUUUCGAAUUGAAAUUAAAACUGCCUUUUUUUUUCAAAAAAUAGCUCUUUUAGAUAAGGUCAGGACUAGAAAAAGGUAAUUUCACAAUUAUUAUCCCAAUAUGCCAGGAUUAUAUGUUAUCCCAAUAGGUAAAGAUGUAGGACUUGUACCUGAUAGAAUAAAAUAAAAUAUACAGAAAAGAAUAUUGUGUAAUCUUGUUUAGUAUUUCAAUUGGUUGAAACAACUUGCAGCAAAUCACUUAUAAUCUAUAGACAUGCAAUUCCUUAUUCAAAGCUAAUAAAUAAGGGAAUCAACUAUGAUAUUCUUAGGCUUUAGGUCAACUAACAGAUUGGCGGGACAGUUGGAUGUUUCAGUUUAAAUCAUACAAAUGACUGAAAAAGGAAAAUACACAAAGAGAAGGUACACCAAAGAAGGCACGAUAGCAACCAUCAACCAGAAACAUGCCAUAUAGUCCAAGAAUUAUGAGCUACUUAAUUAACAAAUCUCAAUCUCCAUGUUUCAAAAACAAGCUAGUUAAUCUUUAACAUGUUCUAAAUAUCAUAAGCAAAAAACCAUUACAAACAAAGAUGAUGAAAAAAAAAAUAACAAUAACAAUAACAAUAAUAAGCAGCUUAAUUGCACAAAUUUAAGUUAUAACCUCUAGCUAUAUGUAAUCUGAUCCUCCAGAUAACAUGAUCCAAAUUCUUUAGUGAUGAAAAGCAAUAAAAUUAGCAUUCCAAAAUGGAAACAAAUGCUUGCAGAGAAUCAAACAAUCUAAAUCACAAAAACAUAAAAUGAUGUUGCUUCUAUCGUCAUUAAAUGCUGUAAAUUUUGGGUUUUGCAGUUUUUUUUAAUUGCAUUGAAGUAGUUAAAAUAUAAUAUAUAUUUGUUUUCAAUUGAAACUAAUUUAUUAAAUUUACAGAGAACUUUCAAUCAAUUAUAUGAUAUUUUCUAUAUUUCAUUACAUAUGCAGUCCAGAUUUGUUUCCACUGAAAUAGUACAUUCCUAGACAAGGACAUUUUAUGUUCCCAAAUUUUUGUUCCACGUACAAAAGCAAUACACAAUCUAGGGAACCUAGGUUAAAACCUACUCUGGAUGGUAUCUGAAUUCUAAUCUCAGCAAAAAAAUCUUAUCUCAACUAUCUCUUCCACCACAAAUGUCCUUGCAACAAUAUCAUACAGAAACAAUGACCCACAACAAUUGAACCAUUAAUUUUCUAGCCCAAGACAAUAAAUUGAACUGCUAAACUAUUGAAAAUUUCUAACUCAACUGCAAAAAUACCCAGUUUCCAUUCUAAAUCCCUGAAAACCAUGAUUAAAAUUCCAAAAGCAUCAAUAUAAAAAGGUUGUUAAACAGAUUUCUUAUAUACCCAGAAAUACCAUUCGACCAACACAUCUCCCUUCGAGGCUUCCACGGAAAUAAAUUUCCUUUCAGCUAAAUUUUCCAUCGAUUAGACUGAGAAUUCAUAAAUCUAUCCCUAUAAAAACCGUUCUAUAAAGUCCAUCCAAAAAAGCAUCAACCACUAUAACAUUUGAACCAAAAUAAUAUGCACAUCCGCCUACUAGUGCGUAUCAGUGAUCAAACAGAGCAUGAUAAAAUCUGAGAAAUGAAAACCAAAGAGAGAGAGGUUGACUCACCGAGAGUGAUGUGAGUUUUGG
rnacentral:misc_RNA from 1 species